ACGGAGGGUGCAAGCGUUAAUCGGAAUUACUGGGCGUAAAGCGCACGCAGGCGGUCUGUCAAGUCGGAUGUGAAAUCCCCGGGCUCAACCUGGGAACUGCAUUCGAAACUGGCAGGCUAGAGUCUUGUAGAGGGGGGUAGAAUUCCAGGUGUAGCGGUGAAAUGCGUAGAGAUCUGGAGGAAUACCGGUGGCGAAGGCGGCCCCCUGGACAAAGACUGACGCUCAGGUGCGAAAGCGUGGGGAGCAAACAGGAUUAGAUACCCUGGUAGUCCACGCCGUAAACGAUGUCGACUUGGAGGUUGUGCCCUUGAGGCGUGGCUUCCGGAGCUAACGCGUUAAGUCGACCGCCUGGGGAGUACGGCCGCAAGGUUAAAACUCAAAUGAAUUGACGGGGGCCCGCACAAGCGGUGGAGCAUGUGGUUUAAUUCGAUGCAACGCGAAGAACCUUACCUACUCUUGACAUCCA
rnacentral:rRNA from 1 species